UACGUAGGGUGCAAGCGUUAAUCGGAAUUACUGGGCGUAAAGGGCGCGUAGGCGGCACUGUUAGUCAGGCGUGAAAGUCCUGGGCUCAACCUGGGAACUGCGCUUGAUACGGCAGAGCUAGAGGAUGGAAGAGGCUCGCGGGAAUUCCCAGUGUAGAGGUGAAAUUCGUAGAUAUUGGGAAGAACACCGGUGGCGAAGGCGGCUCACUGGCUCGUAUCUGACGCUGAGGCACGAAAGCGUGGGGAGCAAACAGG
rnacentral:rRNA from 1 species